AUUGAACGCUGGCGGCAUGCCUUACACAUGCAAGUCGAACGGCAGCACGGGGCAACCUGGUGGCGAGUGGCGAACGGGUGAGUAAAGCAUCGGAACGUGCCCUGGAGUGGGGGAUAACGUAGCGAAAGUUACGCUAAUACCGCAUAUUCUGUGAGCAGGAAAGCAGGGGAUCGCAAGACCUUGCGCUCUGGGAGCGGCCGAUGUCGGAUUAGCUAGUUGGUGGGGUAAAGGCCUACCAAGGCGACGAUCCGUAGCGGGUCUGAGAGGAUGAUCCGCCACACUGGGACUGAGACACGGCCCAGACUCCUACGGGAGGCAGCAGUGGGGAAUUUUGGACAAUGGGCGGAAGCCUGAUCCAGCCAUGCCGCGUGAGUGAAGAAGGCCUUCGGGUUGUAAAGCUCUUUCGGCCGGGAAGAAAUCGCAUGGGUCAAUACCCUGUGUGGAUGACGGUACCGGAAUAAGAAGCACCGGCUAACUACGUG
rnacentral:rRNA from 1 species